CCUACGGGAGGCAGCAGUGGGGAAUCUUGUGCAAUGGACGAAAGUCUGACACAGCCACGCCGCGUGCGGGAAGAAGGCCUUCGGGUUGUAAACCGCUUUCAGCAGGAACGAAAAUGACGGUACCUGCAGAAGAAGAUGCGGCCAACUACGUGCCAGCAGCCGCGGUGAUACGUAGGCAUCAAGCGUUGUCCGGAUUUAUUGGGCGUAAAGAGCUCGUAGGCGGUUCAGCAAGUCGGGUGUGAAAACUCUGGGCUUAACCCAGAGCCUGCACUCGAAACUGCUGUGACUAGAGUUCGGUAGGGGAGCAGGGAAUUCCUAGUGUAGCGGUGAAAUGCGCAGAUAUUAGGAGGAACACCAAUGGCGAAGGCACUGCUCUGGGCCGAUACUGACGCUGAGGAGCGAGAGCGUGGGUAGCAAACAGGAUUAGAUACCCUGGUAGUCCACGCCGUAAACGAUGGGCACUAGGUGUGGGUCUCUAACCAACGAGAUCUGCGCCGUCGCUAACGCAUUAAGUGCCCCGCCUGGGGNGGUACGGUCGCGAGACGUAAACGUUAAAGUAAGUAGACGCGUGAGACGUGCCGACGGACGACGACGAGGGAGGAGG
rnacentral:rRNA from 1 species